GGCUGAAUGGUUUAGUGGUAUAAUUCUUGCUUUGGGUGUAAGAGGUCCUGGGUUCAAUUCCCAGUUCAGCCC
rnacentral:tRNA from 2 species